UAGCCGUAAACGAUACUCGCUAGGUGUCGGCCACGGUGCGACCGUUGUCGGUGCCGUAGGGAAGCCGUGAAGCGAGCCACCUGGGAAGUACGGUCGCAAGGCUGAAACUUAAAGGAAUUGGCGGGGGAGCACAACAACGGGUGGAGCUUGCGGUUUAAUUGGAUUCAACGCCGGAAAUCUUACCGGGACCGACAGCAACAUGAAGGCCAAGCUGAAGACUUUGCCGGAUUAGCUGAGAGGAGGUGCAUGGCGUAGUCGUGU
rnacentral:rRNA from 1 species